AUUGAACGCUGGCGGCAGGCCUAACACAUGCAAGUCGAACGAGCGGCGGACGGGUGAGUAAUGUCUGGGAAACUGCCCGAUGGAGGGGGAUAACUACUGGAAACGGUAGCUAAUACCGCAUACUAUCAGAUGAGCCCAGAUGGGAUUAGCUAGUGGGUGGGGUAACGGCUCACCAAGGCGACGAUCCCUAGCUGGUCUGAGAGGAUGAUCAGCCAAACUGGGACUGAGACACGGCCCAGACUCCUACGGGAGGCAGCAGUGGGGAAUCUUGCGCAAUGGGCGCAAGUCUGACGGAGCAAUGCCGCGUGAGUGAAGAAGGUUUUCGGAUUGUAAAGCUCUGUUGUUGGGGAAGCGUUAUCUAACCAGAAAGCCCCGGCUAACUCCGUGCCAGCCGCCGCGGUAAUUC
rnacentral:rRNA from 1 species